rnacentral:rRNA from 1 species
AAAAGAAACUAACAAGGAUUCCCCUAGUAACUGCGAGUGAACCGGGAAAAGCUCAAAUUUAAAAUCUGGCCGUCUACGAUUGUCCGAGUUGUAAUUUCGAGAAGUGUUUUCCGCGCAGAACCGUAUACAAGUUUCCUGGAAUGGAACGUCAUAGAGGGUGAGAAUCCCGUCUUUGAUACGGACUACCUGUGCUUUUGUGAUACGCUCUCAACGAGUCGAGUUGUUUGGGAAUGCAGCUCAAAAUGGGUGGUAAAUUCCAUCUAAAGCUAAAUAUUGGCGAGAGACCGAUAGCGAACAAGUACCGUGAGGGAAAGAUGAAAAGAACUUUGGAAAGAGAGUUAAACAGUACGUGAAAUUGCUUAAAGGGAAACGCUUGAAGUCAGUCGCGUUGUCUGGGGAUCAGCCUUGCAUUUAUGCUUGGUGUAUUUCCUAGUUAACGGGUCAACAUCAGUUUUGACCGCUGGAAAAAGGUGGAAGAAAUGUGGCAUCACUUGUGGUGUGUUAUAGUCUUUCAUUGUAUACAGCGAUUGGGACUGAGGAACUCAGCACGCCUUUAUGGUCGGGAUUUAUCCACGUAACGUGCUUAGGAUGUUGGCAUAAUGGCUUUAAUCGACCCGUCUUGAAACACGGACCAAGGAGUCUAACAUGCCUGCGAGUAUUUGGGUGGAAAACCCGAGUGCGCAAUGAAAGUGAAAGUUGGGAUCUUUAUCAUGGAGAGCACCGACGCCCGGACCAGACGUUCUCUGACGGUUCCGCGGUAGAGCAUGUAUGUUGGGACCCGAAAGAUGGUGAACUAUGCCUGAAUAGGGUGAAGCCAGAGGAAACUCUGGUGGAGGCUCGUAGCGAUUCUGACGUGCAAAUCGAUCGUCGAA